rnacentral:rRNA from 1 species
UACAGAGGGUGCAAGCGUUGUUCGGAUUUAUUGGGCGUAAAGAGCGUGUAGGCGGCCAGAUAGGUCAGCUGUGAAAACUCGAGGCUCAACCUCGAGACGUCGGUUGAAACCAUCUGGCUAGAGCCCGGAAGAGGAGAGUGGAAUUCCCGGUGUAGCGGUGAAAUGCGCAGAUAUCGGGAAGAACACCCGUGGCGAAGGCGGCUCUCUGGGACGGUACUGACGCUGAGGCGCGAAAGCGUGGGGAGCAAACAGG